rnacentral:rRNA from 1 species
CAGCCGCCGCGGUAAUACGAGGGGGGCUAGCGUUGUUCGGAUUUACUGGGCGUAAAGCGCACGUAGGCGGCCAUUCAAGUUAGAUGUGAAAGCCCUGGGCUUAACCUAGGAAUUGCAUUUGAUACUGUUUGGCUUGAGUUCGGGAGAGGUGAGUGGAAUUCCCAGUGUAGAGGUGAAAUUCGUAGAUAUUGGGAAGAACACCAGUGGCGAAGGCGGCUCACUGGACCGACACUGACGCUGAGGCGCGAAAGCGUGGGGAGCAAACAGGAUUAGAUACCCCCGUAGUCCCUGUCUCUUAUAC